GACGAACGCUGGCGGCGUGCUUAACACAUGCAAGUCGAACGGAAAGGCCCUGCUUUUGUGGGGUGCUCGAGUGGCGAACGGGUGAGUAACAAGUGAGUAACCUGCCCUUGACUUUGGGAUAACUUCAGGAAGCUGGGGCUAAUACCGGAUAGGAGCUCCUGCUGCAUGGUGGGGGUUGGAAAGUUUCGGCGGUUGGGGAUGGACUCGCGGCUUAUCAGCUUGUUGGUGGGGUAGUGGCUUACCAAGGCUUUGACGGGUAGCCGGCCUGAGAGGGUGACCGGCCACAUUGGGACUGAGGGACGGCCCAGACUCCUACGGGAGGCAGCAGUGGGGAAUAUUGCACAAUGGGCGGAAGCCUGAUGCAGCAACGCCGCGUGCGGGAUGACGGCCUUCGGGGUGUAAACCGCUUUCGCCUGUGACGAAGCGUGAGUGACGGUAAUGAGUAAAGAAGCACCGGCUAACUACGUG
rnacentral:rRNA from 1 species